GAUUCUGUCAAGGUGCAUUUUUUUUUCUGCGCUUUUUUGGUGACCACAAUCGAGGUUAGUGAACUUGUGGUAAUUUUAUGUUUCUGUUAAUAGUGAUAAGGUUUUUGGCAUUUCGUCUUUUUUAACAACUCUUCAUAACGAACAUCCCGUAAAAAGUAUUAAUUGGUCGGUGUCUAUAAAAAUGAGCUCUCACGGAAGACAGCGAACGAUCAGUAUGACCAACGAUGUCAGCAUUACAUUCAUCCGCGCUGUAAAAAAAAAACCUGUGAUCUGGUGCAAACAAUCACCAGAACAUAAAAACAAGCAGGCGCAGAUAAAUGCUUGGAUGGAGCUAGAAGUAGAGUUUGAGAUCCCAUGGGAACAACUACACAAAAAAUGGAUCUCGUUGAACAGCUCUUUUCGACAUUAUAAGAAAAUUGAAAGCAAACAAGUUGGAAAAAAACAGACUACGCCAAAGUGGUAUGCUUACAACGAAUUAAAAUUUUUAAACACGGCAACAGACACGGUAAGCUACGUUUAAGUUAGUAAAGCAAAUACCCAAAUUUCCUUACAGGAUUUU